rnacentral:rRNA from 1 species
GACGAACGCUGGCGGCGUGCUUAACACAUGCAAGUCGAGCGGUAAGGCCCUUUCGGGGGUACACGAGCGGCGAACGGGUGAGUAACACGUGGGUGACCUGCCCUUAGCUCUGGGAUAAGCCCGGGAAACUGGGUCUAAUACCGGAUAUGACUCCAUGACGCAUGUUGUGGGGUGGAAAGCCUUGUGCGGCUGAGGAUGGGCCCGCGGCCUAUCAGCUUGUUGGUGGGGUGAUGGCCACCAAGGCGACGACGGGUAGCCGGCCUGAGAGGGCGACCGGCCACACUGGGACUGAGAUACGGCCCAGACUCCUACGGGAGGCAGCAGUGGGGAAUCUUGCGCAAUGGGCGAAAGCCUGACGCAGCGACGCCGCGUGAGGGAUGACGGCCUCGGUGUAAC